CAGGUCAUCUGGAGGCAGUGAGAGGACAGCAGCUGCUGCUGCAUCACGACUCACAGGAGGCAGAAGUUAUAGACGAGAGAGAAAUACAGAUGGACAACAUGACACAACAACCAGAACAACAGCCACAGCGGACACAGAAAGCCAAGAGGAAGAGCAUUCACAGUCGGAUGUUCAGACCCAUGUCCGCCGCAUUCGAGCUGGGCUUUGGAUCUGUAUAAGGCAGU